rnacentral:rRNA from 1 species
UGGGUAAUCUGCCCUCGGUUCUGGGAUAGCCCGGGGAAACCCGGAUUAAUACCGGAUAGCCUCUCGAGCUCUCGGGCUCGUGAGAAAAGGUAGCUUCGGCCUCCGACUGAGGAUGAGCCCGCGGCGGAUUAGCUUGUUGGUGGGGUAACGGCCCACCAAGGCGACGAUCCGUAGCUGGUCUGAGAGGACGAUCAGCCACACUGGGACUGAGACACGGUCCAGACUCCUACGGGAGCAGC